UGGACGUUGAAAGAUUAUUGCUGAACCUGAUUGCGGGGGGUUUCGCUGGAAAUACUACCUAGAAAACGUUAAAACAUGAGAAGGGAAUAAAUUGGGGAAACCAGGGCCCUGUUUUAGAAAGCGGGUUUACUGAAAACUGUUGAUAAAAGUGAGAGACACAGGUAGGCGAGUCGGUCAAGGAUCGAUUCGGACGAGGAGAUAAAGGUAUAACAUGUGGCAGUUUAUUCAGAGUAAAGAUAUCUGGUACAGCGUAUACGGGCCCGUUCAUUCGGCUCCUAAGGAACCAUCAGAAAGAAGCUCCGAUAACAGAGUGCAAGCAUGUUAUAUACAGUACAGAAAGUAGGUUGAGUCUGGAAGUUCUGGUUGGUCACAGUUGAGGUGUUGUCUUCUUGGAUUGGUCCUGUUGAGCCGUGCGUCAUCCUUCUGAGUCUCGUCGUGCCGUUCCCCGUCACACAAUGUUCAGCUAAGAGGGAGAUUAUGUGUGUGUGCUUGUCUCUAAAUCAAGGUUGUCUCUCCCUAUUCUGUUUCUCCCUGCCAAUGUGUGUAGGAGUCUUAUCUGUAUGUCCUCGGUAGUUAGUGUGUAAUGUGUGUGCGUUCGUGUCCUCACUGGAUGUUGUGGCCGAACUGAAGGCUAGCACCUGUGGCUAGGAUGUAUCCUAUUUUGACAGUGUUGUGGAUGAUUUAAGUGAGUCUGUGAAAAUACGUUGCUAUGUGUUGUCAGCAAGGCAAUAGCAGUAAGCUGGUCAUUUGCAUAAGAAAUAGCACAUUCUUACAAAACUCAGAGUUCAAGGAAACUCGGUUUUCCGUUUCCCAAAGCCAGUUCAAUUUAACUCUUGAGUCAGUUAUUAUGGCAACAUACUCCGUGAAGCUAACCUGCUCACUGGCAGUUUCUCCUCCCCUUUAGCUGAAGCCUGCAGACUGAAGGAGGUGUCAGACAUGGCGUGUCCUUUUCUUGAAGAGCCAGUUCAUAUUGAAGCACAAAUACUACGCAGAAAUCUCUGUCGGGAGAGGGUGAUCAGACCAUGCUUGGAUGUUUAAUCAUUCCCUGAUGAUUAUAUUUCAGCAUUUCCAUUUUUCUGCACAAUCGAUCAAUCAUCUGAACAAUAUUCUCAGCCCUCAUAUCGUUCAUAUGACACAUUGUUGACAUGCUCUCAGUUCGGAACAAAUUCUUUGUUUUGCACUUUGUUGUUUUUUUGCCAACGGGAGUUUUCUAUAUCGGUGGCAGUGAGAAUAUUUCAAUGCAACCGUCUGUCGGGCUGUCAGAAAUGUGACUCUAGCACUGAAACGUUUACUGUACACUUUUGUGGUGUUCCCAAGUCACAGACCAUCAAAUAAGAAUUCCACAAAAUUGCAGGAGAGUUGGAUGGUUACCUGCUCAGUGACAGAGGGUACCCCUGCCAGCCCUAUUUGCUGACCCCUGAUCCUGAGCCCGGCCCGCAGCAACGUUAUAACUUGGCUCACUGCAGGACAUGAGCCAGGGCAGAGAUGGCCAUUGGGAUGCUCAAGGCCCGGUUCCAGUGUCUUCGUAGGCUCAGGGUCACCCCAGAAAAGGCAUGUGACAUUAUUGUGGCAUGUGUGAUUCUCCUCAACAUUGCCACAAUUAGAGGAGAACAAUGUCCUACUCAACAGUGAACGAUCCUGACCACCCCGCUAACGCACAAAAUGGACAAAAUGGAAGAGUAGUCAGACACAAUAUGCUGCCAUCAUUUCUGAUUGAUCCUUCACCUCCCCAGUGUCAAAUAAAGACUAUAUGCCUUU